CGCGAAUACUCCGCAAUGCGGGCAACCGCGACGGGGCCACCCCGAGUGCCGGGCGAAGAGCCCGGCUUUUGCCCGGUGUAAGGAGCCGGGCGAAUAAGCGGGGGGUAAGUCUGGUGUCAGCCGCCGCGGUAAUACCAGCCCCGCGAGUGGUCAGGGUGAUUACUGGGCUUAAAGCGCCCGUAGCCGGCCCGGCAAGUCGCUCCUGAAAUCCCCGGGCUCAACCCGGGGGCCGGGGGCGAUACUGCCGG
rnacentral:rRNA from 1 species